GGCUGCUUCUCGCCUCUGUCCAGCUGUGUGGCCUUGGGCAAGCCUCUUGGUCACACAGCUGGAAAGAGGCAUGAAACAGCC
ensembl:miRNA